rnacentral:rRNA from 1 species
ACUUAAAUUGAAGAGUUUGAUCAUGGCUCAGAUUGAACGCUGGCGGCAGGCCUAACACAUGCAAGUCGAGCGGUAGCACAGAGAGCUUGCUCUCGGGUGACGAGCGGCGGACGGGUGAGUAAUGUCUGGGAAACUGCCUGAUGGAGGGGGAUAACUACUGGAAACGGUAGCUAAUACCGCAUAAUGUCGCAAGACCAAAGUGGGGGACCUUCGGGCCUCAUGCCAUCAGAUGUGCCCAGAUGGGAUUAGCUAGUAGGUGGGGUAAUGGCUCACCUAGGCGACGAUCCCUAGCUGGUCUGAGAGGAUGACCAGCCACACU